rnacentral:lncRNA from 1 species
GCCAUUUUACACUGGGCUUUUAAAAGCACAGCCACCAAAAUGACAAAAGUCUAAGCUCGCUAUGAAGUGACACUGCAAGACAAUAGCACCCACGGCUGCCUGUGAGCUCGGGGGAAUGCCCCUUUUAACAUCUGAAGGAACACUCUGGCUUCUUGGAUGUGGGGUUUUUUUGUUUGUUUUUUGUUUUUGUUUUUUUUUUUUUAAAACAGCAUUAUCAUGUUUUUCUUGAGCAGAUUGUUGAUCCUUUUCAACCACUCGAUAGAUCCUCUGCAUGCAAACCUGGCCAUGUAAAAACGAUGUCCAUCAAAAUAUUUUUUCGAUUUGAUCUCAUGAAGGUACCUAGAGAAGCCAGUCAUCCUGGAACAAAAUUCAUGACUCCUUUAGCUCCGAGAUCUUUAAUUCCUUGGGAAAAAAAAUAUAAUUUCUUACUCACAGUAACUACGAUGUGUGCAAAAAGUAAAAUAAAAUAAUGAAUUUAGCGGUUAAAUGAAAACAAUAGGCAUAUUCCCUCCCCCUCCCCCGCCCCCCUUAAAAACUGUUUCAAAAACCUUUACUGGCUGACAGAAUUCUACCACUCUGCCUUACAAACAAAAUGGCUGUGGUACUGAGUUUUUUAGGAUCCUCCCACUGUGCCUCCUCCUGGCCUCCAGGAAGUGAUAAAAAUCCAAAAUAAAUACAGUACUGAAAGUACACCAUUGAGUCUGAAUUCGGGGGAAACCUUUGGUAAGAGGGUCUUAGAAAUGUGCUGGUCAUUAUUAGUUUUUUAAAAUUGUUUUGAAAAGAACAUCAAUCACUAGAGAUUUACUUGACUGUAAUUCGAACUUCCUGCUUUACAUAUUUAUAAGGUCUUUCACCUAUCUUGGCAGGCUUUCAAAUUAAGUGGGCUGGGAAAUUUGAUGCUCGGUCUCUAGUUGUGAGCUGAGUCAGGUAUUUGGUGGUUGCAACUGGGCUUUUAAAUAAAGACAAAAUCUAAGACUUUAAAAAAAUGAACGUUAAACAGACGCAAGACUAUGUUUGCUAAUGUAAAGUCAGAAAAGUCGACAAAGAUCGUAAUGUGUCAAAUACUGCAUACAUGUGUCAACAUAUUCAGUAAAAAUUCUUUGCCCACUAAAUUUUCUAACAAGCCAAGAAGAGAACAGGGUUUAAAGGAACUGGAUUAAGAAAGGGGUGGGGAAUUAUCUACAUUCUUCACAACCUCUUCCCCUCCCCACACACACCACACACAUACACACACAUGCACAUAUACACACACAUACACAUACAUAUACACACACACACGCACACACGCACACACACACACAC